AACGAACGCUGGCGGCAUGCCUAACACAUGCAAGUCGAACGAAGCCUUCGGGCUUAGUGGCGCACGGGUGCGUAACGCGUGGGAAUCUGCCCCUUGCUUCGGAAUAACAGUUAGAAAUGACUGCUAAUACCGGAUGAAGUCUUCGGACCAAAGAUUUAUCGGCAAGGGAUGAGCCCGCGUAGGAUUAGGUAGUUGGUGGGGUAAAGGCCUACCAAGCCGACGAUCCUUAGCUGGUCUGAGAGGAUGAUCAGCCACACUGGGACUGAGACACGGCCCAGACUCCUACGGGAGGCAGCAGUGGGGAAUAUUGGACAAUGGACGCAAGUCUGAUCCAGCAAUGCCGCGUGAGUGAUGAAGGCCUUAGGGUUGUAAUGCUCUUUUACCAGGGAUGAUAAUGACAGUACCUGGAGAAUAAGCUCCGGCUAACUCCGUG
rnacentral:rRNA from 1 species